rnacentral:rRNA from 1 species
UACGGAGGGUGCGAGCGUUGUCCGGAAUCACUGGGCGUAAAGGGCGCGUAGGCGGCCUGAUAAGUAGGGGGUGAAAUCCUGCGGCUUAACCGCAGGGCUGCCUUCUAAACUGUCAGGCUUGAGCACAGUAGAGGCAGGUGGAAUUCCCGGUGUAGCGGUGGAAUGCGUAGAGAUCGGGAAGAACAUCAGUGGCGAAGGCGGCCUGCUGGGCUGUUGCUGACGCUGAUGCGCGACAGCGUGGGGAGCAAACAGG